AACGCACAUUGCGCCCUCUGGUAUUCCAGAGGGCAUGCCUGUUUGAGCGUCAUUUCUCCUUCAAACCUUUGGGUUUGGUGUUGAGUGAUACUCUUAGUCAGCUAAGCGUUUGCUUGAAAUAUAACGGCAGGAGUGUACUAGAUAGUACGAACUGGUUAUUCAAUGUAUUAGGUUUAUCCAACUCGUUGAAGACUGGGGCAGUAAAUUUUUAGUAUUAGGCUCGGCCUUAUAACAACAAACCAAGUUUGACCUCAAAUCAGGUAAGAAUACCCGCUGAACUUAA
rnacentral:misc_RNA from 1 species